UACGAAGGGUGCAAGCGUUACUCGGAAUUACUGGGCGUAAAGCGCACGUAGGCGGCUUGGUAUGUCGGGUGUGAAAUCCCCGGGCUCAACCUGGGAACUGCAUCCGAAACUGCCUUGCUCGAGUAUGGGAGAGGGAAGUGGAAUUUCCGGUGUAGCGGUGAAAUGCGUAGAUAUCGGAAGGAACAUCAGUGGCGAAGGCGACUUCCUGGACCAAUACUGACGCUCAGGUGCGAAAGCGUGGGGAGCAAACAGG
rnacentral:rRNA from 1 species